rnacentral:rRNA from 1 species
AACACCUUAUUUGAUUUUCUUCGGAACUGAAGAUUUGGUGAUUGAGUGGCGGACGGGUGAGUAACGCGUGGGUAACCUGCCCUGUACAGGGGGAUAACAGUCAGAAAUGACUGCUAAUACCGCAUAAGACCACAGCACCGCAUGGUGCAGGGGUAAAAACUCCGGUGGUACAGGAUGGACCCGCGUCUGAUUAGCUGGUUGGUGAGGUAACGGCUCACCAAGGCGACGAUCAGUAGCCGGCUUGAGAGAGUGAACGGCCACAUUGGGACUGAGACACGGCCCAAACUCCUACGGGAGGCAGCAGUGGGGAAUAUUGCACAAUGGGGGGAACCCUGAUGCAGCGACGCCGCGUGAGUGAAGAAGUAUCUCGGUAUGUAAAGCUCUAUCAGCAGGGAAGAAAAUGACGGUACCUGACUAAGAAGCCCCGGCUAACUACGUGCCAGCAGCCGCGGUAAUACGUAGGGGGCAAGCGUUAUCCGGAAUUACUGGGUGUAAAGGGUGCGUAGGUGGUAUGGCAAGUCAGAAGUGAAAACCCAGGGCUUAACUCUGGGACUGCUUUUGAAACUGUCAGACUGGAGUGCAGGAGAGGUAAGCGGAAUUCCUAGUGUAGCGGUGAAAUGCGUAGAUAUUAGGAGGAACAUCAGUGGCGAAGGCGGCUUACUGGACUGAAACUGACACUGAGGCACGAAAGCGUGGGGAGCAAACAGG